GCGUUGCUCGGAAUCACUGGGCGUAAAGGGCGCGUAGGCGGCCAUUCAAGUCGGGGGUGAAAGCCUGUGGCUCAACCACAGAAUUGCCUUCGAUACUGUUUGGCUUGAGUAUGGUAGAGGUCGGUGGAACUGCGAGUGUAGAGGUGAAAUUCGUAGAUAUUCGCAAGAACACCAGUGGCGAAGGCGGCCGACUGGACCAUUACUGACGCUGAGGCGCGAAAGCGUG
rnacentral:rRNA from 1 species